UACAGAGGGUGCGAGCGUUAAUCGGAAUUACUGGGCGUAAAGCGCACGUAGGCGGCUUUGUAAGUUAGAGGUGAAAGCCCGGGGCUCAACCCCGGAAUUGCCUUUGAGACUGCAUCGCUAGAAUUGUGGAGAGGUAAGUGGAAUUCCGAGUGUAGAGGUGAAAUUCGUAGAUAUUCGGAAGAACACCAGUGGCGAAGGCGACUUACUGGACACAUAUUGACGCUGAGGUGCGAAAGCGUGGGGAGCAAACAGG
rnacentral:rRNA from 1 species